UACGAAGGGGCUAGCGUUGCUCGGAAUCACUGGGCGUAAAGCGCACGUAGGCGGAUUGUUAAGUCAGGGGUGAAAUCCUGGAGCUCAACUCCAGAACUGCCUUGAUACUGGCGAUCUUGAGUCCGGGAGAGGUGAGUGGAACUGCGAGUGUAGAGGUGAAAUUCGUAGAUAUUCGCAAGAACACCAGUGGCGAAGGCGGCUCACUGGCCCGAUACUGACGCUGAGGCACGAAAGCGUGGGGAG
rnacentral:rRNA from 1 species